CACAGGACCACGGGCACCCGGCGCUUGCGAGCAGGCGCACAGCUGUUGCAGAGGACGAGUGGGGCCGGGCCCAAGCCGGGGACGUAGAGGGAGGAACAGUGGCCAAAGCAGAGCACCUAUUAGAGGCCAGACACAGUUCUGAGCUCUGGAUACAAGGGAGCAAGAUAGAAAAUGGGUCCUUGCUGCCACCGGUUUUACACCGUAAUACAGGAAACAGACAAUACAACGACCUCAACCACACCAUCUGUCCCUCAGCAAAUCCUGGGGAGGAACUUGGAUUUGUUGAGUACCCCAGAGAAACUUCCCUGUGGGCACAUGACACAGACAGACAGGCUCACUGCAGCAUCACUUCUGCAAUCAGGAAAAAUUGGAAACAAAGGUCCAUCAAAACAGUCUGACAGAAUAAUUGUAGUUUAUUGAUACCAUGGACAAAAAUGAGCACAUUUUUUUCAUACUUUUUUUUUUUUUACCAUGAAGCACAGUAAGAAAUACAUUUUACACUGUGAACCAGAGGUAGUAAAUUGUACUUCCCAAAGAGGCCUCAACAGUAUGUCCCAUUCUAUAUGCUCUACAUAAAUCCUUUGCCUGUGACCUUGACAGUGUGGCUUUGACAAUCCUUCUAUCAAGCAAUAAGGUCUCUGACCCCUUCCCUUGAACCUAGAUAACCUUUGGCUCAACCAAUAGAUACAGAUGGAAAUGACAGCAUGUGACUUCCGAGGCUCAGUUAGAAAGAUGUCAUGCACUUCAGCCUUGUUUACUUGGGACCAAGCUGCCGUGUUGUUGAGCAAGCUCAAACUGGCCCCUACUGAGAGACCACUGUGUAGAUAUUCCAGCUGAGCUCUGGCCAGCAUCCCCCAGAAAACAUGAAUGAAUGAAAAUGCCUUCUAAUGAUUCUGGUGGCCAGGCAUCAAGUCAACUCAACUUUAAAUUCUUCCCAGCUGUAGACUGCAUGUAACAGAGACAAACUAUCCAUGCUGUGCCCUGCCCAAAUUCCUGAUCGACAGAAUCCAUGAGCAUAAGAAAAAUGGUUGGUUGGGGAAGGUUUGUUAGCAUCAACUGCAACUGGAACCCUAGUAUAUACAUACACGUAUAUAUGAUGGAAAUAAAAGUUUUGCCAAACAAUAUUUACCUUUCCACAUGUGAUACAGUCAGGUAUUUUUAUGCUAUUCUAUUUUUAUGUUAAAAAGUAAACACUGUACACCCACGUUCAUAGGAGCAUUAUUCACACUAACCAAAAGGUGGGAGCAGCCCAAGUAUCUAUCAGUGGAUGAAUGGAUAAACAAAAUGUGGUAAAUACAUAUGAUGGGAUAUUAUUCAGCUUUAAAAAGGAAGGAAAUUCUGACCCAUGCUACAAUGUGGAUGAACCCUGAGGACACUAACAGUCACAAUAGGACAAAUAAUUAUGGUGUCACCUAGAUGAGGCCCCUAGAAGAAUCAAAUUCAUUGAGAAAGAAAGUAAAGUGGUGAUUACUAGGGCCUGGAGGGGCAAAAAAUGAAGAGUUAAUGUUUAACGGGGACAGUUUCUGUUUUGCAAGAUGACAGAGUUCUGGAGAUGGAUGGUGGGGAUAGUUGCACAUCAGUAUGAAUAUGCUUCAUGUCACUGAAUAGUACACUUAAAAAUAGUCAUGAUGGUAAGUUGCAUGUGCGUUUUGUCAGGAUUUUUAAAACAAACAGUUAUUAAAUUAAAAAAAAAAAGAG